CGGGCGUUGAGUAUAUGCAUCUUCUCCUGAACAGAUCAAUAUACCCAAGGCUCGGA
rnacentral:pre_miRNA from 1 species